AAUCAACGCUGGCGGCGUGCCUCAGACAUGCAAGUCGAACGCGAAAGGGGGCGUUCGGCCUCCGAGUAGAGUGGCGCACGGGUGAAUAACACGUGGGUAAUCUACCUCCGGGUGGGGAAUAUCAGCUGGAAACGGCUGUUAAUACCGCAUAAUGCAGCGGCAUCUAUGAUGACAGUUGUUAAAGCGGGGGACCGUAGCAAUACGGCCUUGCGCCUGGAGAGGAGCCCCGCGGCGGAUUAGCUAGUUGGUGAGGUAAUGGCUCACCAAGGCUUCGAUCCGUAGCCGGCCUGAGAGGGCGGUCGGCCACACUGACACUGACACACGGGUCAGACUCCUACGGGAGGCAGCAGUCGGGAAUUUUGGGCAAUGGGCGCAAGCCUGACCCAGCAACGCCGCGUGAAGGAUGAAAUCUUUCGGGAUGUAAACUUCAUAAGAUCGGGAAG
rnacentral:rRNA from 1 species